rnacentral:rRNA from 1 species
GAUGAACGCUGGCGGCGUGCUUAACACAUGCAAGUCGAACGAAGCACCUUGAUUUGAUUCUUCGGAUGAAGAUCCUGGUGACUGAGUGGCGGACGGGUGAGUAACGCGUGGGUAACCUGCCUCAUACAGGGGGAUAACAGUUAGAAAUGACUGCUAAUACCGCAUAAGACCACAGCACCGCAUGGUGCAGGGGUAAAAACUCCGGUGGUAUGAGAUGGACCCGCGUCUGAUUAGGUAGUUGGUGGGGUAACGGCCUACCAAGCCGACGAUCAGUAGCCGACCUGAGAGGGUGACCGGCCACAUUGGGACUGAGACACGGCCCAAACUCCUACGGGAGGCAGCAGUGGGGAAUAUUGCACAAUGGGGGAAACCCUGAUGCAGCGACGCCGCGUGAGCGAUGAAGUAUUUCGGUAUGUAAAGCUCUAUCAGCAGGGAAGAAAAUGACGGUA